CUAUCACCACGACGAGGAUGUAAACAGCGCCCCCUGGAGUUAAGCACGGAGACCCUACUUACUGGUCAAGACAGGCAUACUCUCUUCUGACUUGGCCAUCACUGAACUGCAGAGUGAAGAGGGAAAUCCUCGCAGCCUCUGCCACCACCAUGUGUUAUGGAAAAUGUGCACGGUGCAUCGGACAUUCUCUGGUGUGGCUGGCCAUCCUCUGCAUUGUAGCUAAUAUUUUGCUUUACUUUCCAAAUGGGGAAACAAAAUAUGCCUCCGAAAACCAUCUCAGCCGCUUCGUGUGGUUCUUUUCUGGCAUCGUAGGAGGGGGCUUGCUGAUGUUCCUGCCGGCAUUCAUAUUCAUUGGGUUGGAGCAGGACGACUGUUGUGGCUGCUGUGGCCACGAAAACUGUGGCAAGAGAUGCGCGAUGCUUUCUUCCGUCCUGGCGGCCCUCAUUGGGAUUGCAGGGUCUGGCUACUGCGUCAUCGUGGCAGCCCUGGGCUUGGCCGAAGGGCCAGUAUGUCGUGAUUCUCUUGGCCAGUGGAACUACACCUUUGCCAACACCGAUGGACAGUACCUUCUGGAUACCUCCACAUGGUCCCAGUGCAUGGAACCCAAGCAUAUUGUAGAAUGGAACGUCUCUCUGUUUUCCAUCCUCUUGGCCCUGGGUGGAAUUGAAUUCAUCUUAUGUCUCAUUCAAGUAAUAAAUGGUGUGAUGGGAGGCAUAUGUGGCUAUUGCUGCUCUCGCCAACAGCGAUACGACUGCUAAAAGAACCACCCCACGACAGAACCACGAUCUUCCUUUAUUUCAUUCCUUGCAGAUGCCACCACCCAGAGGCCCCUGAGCCUCCCAGCCACAGUCAACUCCACUGAGUUCUUCAACAUUGCUAUGGAUGGCAAGCUCUUGGGUCAAAUCUCCAUCGAGCUGUUUGCAGACAAAGUUCCCAAGAUAGUAGAAAACUUUCAUGCUCUGAGCACUGGGGAGAAAGGAUUUGGUUAUAAAUUUUCCUGCUGUCACAGGAUUAUUCCAGGAUUUAUGUGCCAGCAGAACGAUCUGUUCAUGAGACAACGCUGAAUGUAUUGCUUACGGCCAUCAGGGAGAAUACCACCUUGAAAGAACUUUCAUUGGAGGGAGAAGGAAAAGGCUGAAUUUGAGAUUUUGAUUUUGGUUCAGUCAUGAGCUCUGGGAUUCAGGAGCCACCCAACAUGUGAAGACUUUGCAUAUAACUUCUUCUUCCUUUGAACUUUAGAACAGGAGCUCAACUCUGUAUGUUAAAAUCACCCAGCAACUAGGCACCAAUAUCUCUCAUGAACAUAGAGUGAGAGAAGUGGAAGUUACUUUUCCUAGUGCCAGGGUAGAAAAUGGCUACGUGGACUUCCCCAGGGGAGUUUUCCCUUAGGAGGAUACAUAUCAAUUUACACUGUAGAAGACAGGUUUUGCUGGAGCCUCUGAGCAUCACACUGCAGACAACUGAACACAAGCAUUGUUUGGUUUUCUCUUUCACUGCAUGGUGUCCAACCUGUUUUUUGAAAAGGAAGAGGGAGAAUGGAGGACUCAAUUUUUGAAUUUCAAAUGAGAUUACACCCGGGUCAUUACAUUUUUCUCUAAGAGUUCCACGAACUAUAGAGCUGCCCUACCACAUCAGAUAGGACUACCCUGGAGCCUCAAAGCUGACCAGAAUCAGAUUUGGUCCAUAUUGUCUAGGCAAAUAUUUUCUGGAAGCCAGGACUAACCCUAUGACUGGGUUCAGUAGGGGCCACCAUGGAGAUAUCAAAUCAGCAGCCAGCAUCAACCACUUGGGAACCUGGGACGAAGCCCUGCACUCAGCCGAACACGAUUCAAAGUGAUCUUCCAGGGCCAUGAAGAGGUUCUGGAAUGCCAUAGCUGCCCGGUGGAGGAAGCGCCCCAGAAGUUGCCUGCAGGGUUGCGUGCAGGAACACACAGUACCCGAAAGUACCGCAGGAGCCCUUGGGCAAGCAGCCGUCCCAGUGGUACUGCUUUGUGCCAGGCAAGUUGAUGUUACAGCAGCCAGCCCUUUCUUUCACAAAUGUAUUCUAGCUCAUCUGUGAUGAGGUGCUUCCCUUGGAUGGAGUCCCGGCACCAGGAAGACUGCUGCUACCCAAGUGAAAACGAACUUUCUACAGAAUGGGCGGUCAUGGUCUUGAACCUGGAGGAGAUUCCAAUCUCUCACUGCCCUCUCCUCCAGCCUGAAGGUGCUGGUGAGGAAGUGGAGAGACAGCGCCAGAAGACCAGGGUCAGAACCUACCUCUUCCAGAGGAGCCAGUGCCACACCGGCUGACUAUUCAAAUUAUUAGGUCAUUACUGUCUCCUGAAUGGACCCUGACAGAUAAAACAGCUUCUGGUCAUAGUC